AUGCGUUGUGAGGGAAGGGAAAGAGUAACGGCGUUGAAUGGGAAGGAAUCGGGGACGACGCGUUUAAAUGGGGUUAAGGCUAUACCGUGUUUAUUGGAAGAUGGAAGGGAACAUCUCAUGUUGUGUUGGUGCCCACUUCUUUGCAAUAUGCGCAUCUAUGUCACUGGAUCCUUUUUUUCUUUCUUUUUCUUUUUUAUUCAAGGAAAUUUUCAACUUCUUUUUCUACCUAGGUUUGUUACUUAA